CAGGACAGAGGAGGUGAGGUGGACAGGACAUAGGAGGUGGUGAGGACAGAGGAGGUGAGGAGGACAGAGGAGGUGAGGUGGACAGGACAGAGGAGGUGGUGAGGACAUAGGAGGUGAGGAGGACAGAGGAGGUGAGGAGGACAGAGGAGGUGAAGAUGGAAGCCUGCUACGAGAACAGCCAUCUAGUGGUGGGAUCACAGUCUAGCGAACUAACCAGCCAGACAGACACACAUGGUUAACACUUGUUGGCCACAGAGUUUGGGAAGUGUUUUCGAACGGCCUUUCUGACUGUUCACUCAGGAAGGGUGUGAAUGUCCCAACACCUUUUUGUUUCAAUAGACAGAGCAGUGUGAGAGAAACAUUCACGUACUCAACUCGUAGUAGGUCGAAAUGUUGUGACAUGAAAAUAUCACCUUUCAACGAAUUCAGCGUAAAUGUGUUGAGUAGCGGCGUUUGUUUGUUUGUAGUUGAACAACGGCUGUUCUAACGUGUAGCACGUUAAUUAAACAUGUUACUGGGCCCAAUGCGUCUAAUUUGAACUGAAAUGUGACGAUUGUAAGCAAAGUCGAAAACGGGGUCGAAAGUUGAACUGAGGUUUGAGGUUGUUGUUCUAACGUUGUCGGGUCACAAUGGAGAGGAUGUGGGUUGUCCUGCAUCUGUCACUGUGGUUUUCACACACACACACACACACACACACACACACACACACACACACACACACACACACACACACACACACACACACACACACACACACACACACACACACACACACACACACACACACACACACACACACACACACACACACACACACACACACACACACACAGACACACACACACACACACACACACACACACAGACACACAGACACACAGACACACAGACACACACACACACAGACACACACACACACAGACACACACACACACAGACACACACACACACAGACACACACACACACACACACACACACACACACACACACACACACACACACACACACACACACACACACACACACACACACACACACACACACACACACACACACACACACACACACACACACACACACACACACACACACACACACACACACACACACACACACACAGACACACACACACAGACACACACACACACACACACACACACACACACACACACACACACACUAACCACUAGACUACCUGCCGCCCCUACACUAACCACUAGGCUACCCUGCCGCCUCUACACUCUAACCACUAGACUACCUGCCGCCCCUACACUAACCACUAGGUUACCCUGCCGCCUCUACACUCUAACCACUAGACUACCUGCCGCCCCUACACUAACCACUAGGUUACCCUGCCGCCUCUACACUCUAAACGCUAGGCUACCCUGCCGCCUCUACACUCUAACCGCUAGGCUACCCUGCCGCCUCUACACUCUAACCACUAGACUACCUGCCGCCCCUACACUCUAACCACUAGACUACCUGCCGCCCCUACACUCUAACCACUAGACUACCUGCCGCCUCUACACUCUAACCACUAGACUACCUGCCGCCCCUACACUCUAACCACUAGGCUACCCUGCCGCCUCUACACUCUAACCACUAGGCUACCCUGCCGCCUCUACACUCUAACCACUAGGUUACCCUGCCGCCUCUACACUCUAACCACUAGACUACCUGCCGCCCCUACACUAACCACUAGGCUACCCUGCCGCCUCUACACUCUAACCACUAGACUACCUGCCGCCCCUACACUAACCACUAGGCUACCCUGCCGCCUCUACACUCUAACCACUAGACUACCUGCCACCCCUACACUAACCACUAGGUUACCCUGCCACCUCUACACUCUAACCACUAGACUACCUGCCGCCCCUACACUAACCACUAGGUUACCCUGCCGCCUCUACACUCUAACCACUAGACUACCUGCCGCCCCUACACUCUAACCACUAGGCUACCCUGCCGCCUCUACACUCUAACCACUAGGCUACCCUGCCGCCUCUACACUCUAACCACUAGGUUACCCUGCCGCCUCUACACUCUAACCACUAGACUACCUGCCGCCCCUACACUAACCACUAGGCUACCCUGCCGCCUCUACACUCUAACCACUAGACUACCUGCCGCCCCUACACUAACCACUAGGCUACCCUGCCGCCUCUACACUCUAACCACUAGACUACCUGCCACCCCUACACUAACCACUAGGUUACCCUGCCACCUCUACACUCUAACCACUAGACUACCUGCCGCCCCUACACUAACCACUAGGUUACCCUGCCGCCUCUACACUCUAACCACUAGGCUACCCUGCCGCCUCUACACUCUAACCACUAGGCUACCCUGCCGCCUCUACACUCUAACCACUAGGCUACCUACCUCCUCUACACUCUAACCACUAGGCUACCCUGCCGCCUCAACACUCUAACCACUAGGCUACGCUGCCGCCUCUACACUCUAACCACUAGGCUACCCUGCCGCCUCUACACUCUAACCACUAGGCUACCCUGCCGCCUCUACACUCUAACCACUAGGCUACCUACCUCCUCUACACUCUAACCACUAGGCUACCUACCUCCUCUACACUCUAACCACUAGGCUACCUACCUCCUCUACACUCUAACCACUAGGCUCCCUGCCGCCUCUACACUCUAACCAAUAGGCUCCCUGCCAGCUCUACACUCUAACCACUAGGCUACCCUGCCGCCUCUACACUCUAACCACUAGGCCACCCUGUCGCCUCUACACUCUAACCACUAGGCUCCCUGCCAGCUCUACACUCUAACCACUAGGCUACCCUGCCGCCUCUACACUCUAACCACUAGGCUACCCUGUCGCCUCUACACUCUAACCACCCGGCUCCCUGCCGUCUCUACACUCUAACCACUAGGUUCCCUGCCGCCUCUACACUCUAACCACUAGGCGACCUACCUCCUCUACACUCUAACCACUAGGCUAGCCUGCCGCCCCGUUUCAUACUGAUAAAACUGUUGCAGCUAAACCUUUCUAACUUCACCACAUGUUCUAUUUUUGUGGUAAAUCAAAUUAAAAUAAAAUACCAUUUAAGAUGAAUUAUUGAAGUCUGUGUUAGCGUGCCGUAGCCUAAUGAUAAUCGUAAUAUGCAUCUCUGUAAUCAUCCCAAAUGGCACCUUUGUUCCCUAUGAAGUGCCCUACUGUUGACCAGAGCCCUGUGGGCUCUAAUCGAAGGUAGUAGAGUGACAUUUUGGGACACAUCUUGACCACGUUUUACAGCUUCUAACAAUCAGCCCUGAAGCAGGAAGUACAUUACAGGAAGUACAUUACAAUAACGUUUACAGCUUUUUGCUCUUCACCACCUCUAACAUCCUGUAGGAGAGAAACAGGUACUAUUAGACAUAGCAGAGAGAAACAGGUACUAUUAGACACAGCAGAGAGAAACAGGUAUUAUUAGACACAGCAGAGAGGAAACAGGUACUAUUAGACACAGCAGAGAGAAACAGGUAUUAUUAGACACAGCAGAGAGGAAACAGGUACUAUUAGACACAGCAGAGAGAAACAGGUAUUAUUAGACACAGCAGAGAGGAAACAGGUACUAUUAGACACAGCAGAGAGGAAACAGGUAUUAUUAGACACAGCAGAGAGAAACAGGUACUACUAGACACAGCAGAGAGAAACAGGUAUUAUUAGACACAGCAGAGAGGAAACAGGUACUACUAGACACAGCAGAGAGGAAACAGGUACUAUUAGACACAGCAGAGAGAAACAGGUACUAUUAGACACAGCAGAGAGAAACAGGUACUAUUAGACACAGCAGAGAGAAACAGGUACUAUUAGACACAGCAGAGAAACAGGUACUAUUAGACACAGCAGAGAGAAACAGGUCCUAUUAGACACAGCAGAGAGAAACAGGUACUAUUAGACACAGCAGAGAAACAGGUACUAUUAGACACAGCAGAGAGAAACAGGUCCUAUUAGACACAGCAGAGAGGAAAGAGAGAGGGGGAAAGUGCCAGCCUCUCUGAAACACUCUGACAGAGAGAAACAGGUACUAUUAGACACAGCCGAGAGGAAAGAGAGAGGGGGAAAGUGCCAGCCUCUCUGAAACACUCUGACAGAGAGAAGUCUGUUGUUUCAGCACACAUAGUGACUGGUGAUUUUGUACCUUGCCUUCAUCCACCCUCCUUCCCCAUUCCU